CUUGUGUAGCAUGCAGUGGAGGCAAAUAUAUGGAUUUGUAGAUUGAGUGCAAAAAACUGUUAUGUCUGCUGUCUGAUCCUGUGCAUUUUAGUCCAAGUGUUUUGUAAAUUUCGUAGAGUCUGGGGGUUGAUUUUUUUGAAUUUUAAGUUGGUUUCUAAGAGUCUUAGGAUUGAAUUUUUGGAGUUGCCACUUGAUGGAGAAAAUUCUUCCCUUUUAAAAGCCAUUCUCAUUCUCUCCCUUUCUGUUCGUGGAAUCUCAAAAAUUGUUGAAGAACAGAAGUUAAUACGUUUUUUUAACUGUACAAGACUUUCUCGGAGUCAGAAUUAUAUAUUUAAUGUCAAGAAACCACUCGAUUUAAAAGGCUAAACUUGUAGGUGGUGAAGGCUGCAAGAAUAGCUCUAUAUCUCUAACACACCCUCGCAUGCGAAUGCCUACAGGGCUUGAAGUAUGAACAGGCACAUACUCACUCUACCUUGUGCUGAAAUAUUUGAUUGAUAAAUGGAGGUGGCCAACAUUCGAACUCUAAACGUUUUGGUCUGAGAGGCUCUAAUAUCAUGUUAAGAAACCAGUCAACUUGAAAGCUUAAGCCUGUAGGUGAGGGCCCCAAAAAUAGUUUUC
rnacentral:misc_RNA from 1 species